AGACUGAUAUAAAUAAAUACGUUGAAAGUUUGAGGAACAACAGGUAUUUAAGUAGUUUUCAAUACAUUCCCCAUAAAAUACUUAAUAAUUACAAAGAAGGAAGAAGAAACUACAUGGAGAAGCCUGUUGGACACCACCCUAAUCAAGUGAUCAGAGUGAUCCUCAUCAAUAGUGGGACGAAUGGAAAUCUUGAGCCACCUAAUGGGAUGCAAUGAGAAGAGCCCAGCAUCACUUCCGUGAUAUUCCUAUCAAAGAUGUAUAACCUGAAUUUUGACUUUUUUUGUGUGUGUGUGUGGUGAGGAAGAUUGGCCCUGGGCUAACAUCUGUUGCCCAUCCUCCCCUUUUUGCUUGUGGAAGAUUGUCCUUGAGCUAACAUCUGUGCCAAUCUUCCUCUAUUUUUGUAUGUGGGAUGCUGCCACAGCAUGGCAUGAGGAACAGUGCCUAGGUCCGUGCCCAGGGUCCAAACACACAAACCCUGGGCCACCGAAGCAGAGCAUGUGAACGUAACCACUACGCCACCACACCGGCCCCUGAAUUUUGACCUAAAAAAAUAUUUAUUUUUUAGGUGAUCCCACAAGGAGGAAACAAUCAGACAAAUCCAGGCUAUGAGACAUUCUAUAAGACAAGCAGAUGGGACAGCUGGGGAGAGGCGGGGAGAGGAUGUCAUCAGGCACCUGGGAGGGAGUGGGCAGUCCCGUUACAUACACACUGCACCCUAUUACAGCCCUGCAGACUUUUUGUAGCUGAGGAAACUGAGGCACAGGGAGGUGAAGUCAAUUCUUCAAGGACCCAGCCGCAGACCCUGGAUUGGGCUUGUCUUCAAAGCCCUCACUCCCAUCUGCAGGCCGAUUCUGGAAUUGAUGGUUGGAGCAAUUUUGGGUGGCGGAUGGGGCACAGGCAAGACAUGACUGAACUUUUUGGCUGGGACUGGCACAGGGCAGGCAUUUACUCGACAUUUGUUGGUGGAUACAGGGCUCUGUGCUCCCGGGCCAGAGGCCGGCUUACACAGGUAGAACAUGCACAAAGAGGAUUCUAGACGCAUCCCUGCUGGGGGGCAGCCAGGGCUGAGAGCCCGGGCUGUGGGCCCAAGGGCCUGGAGGAACAGGGUGCCUUCUGUUUGACCUCAAGGAGCAGCUGCCACCUUCUCCCUCCCACUUCUCUAUCAAGGCCUGUAGCAGCAAGAAAAUUGUAGUCUCAUUACCCAGUGACCCGAGAAGCACAAUUAAGCUGAAAAUUAGUUGGCAUAAUUAAUUAGAUGGGUAAAUAGCUCCCUGUCAACACCAAUCAAUCCAUUCUGCAUAUAAUCAGCUCGGCACCGGCAGGAAGGAGCUCCUGCAGCUGCUGCUUCUGCUGGUGGGCCAGGGCCUGGGGGGAGCGGAAAUGGGCACCAGGGGACAGGAUGUGCAGCCAGCACAGCCCCUGGCCCAGGCCAGGACCGCCAUGGGAACUCACGAAGUUCUGGCUCGUUUUCAGGGAAGUCCACUGCACUGGAAUAAGCUGCCUGUGCCAGCCCAGCUUUGUGUGGGAGCAGGAGUGGGAGCAAGAGGACUGGGGUUCCCCCAUUUCUACCACCUCCCCCGCCCCUCCCCUACAUAGCUGAGAGUGAGUGGGGAAGGAAGGUUGAAGAUAUCAGCUGUUAAAGGAAGGAAUUUAUAAGUAGCUCAUCUUUCUUUAACCACUUAGAAAUGGUUCUCAUGAAUUUCACAUAACCCUGGGUGCAGGUCACCCAGUGGUCAGAACCCGCCCACGGUGGCCAUCAGGCUGGACGGGAUCAUCAGAAGGCCCCUCCCUCCAAGCUGGGCUGGGAAAAUUUUCUCCUCUACAGGAAUCCACUCAGUCUCCUUUCUUCUGAAAAUAACUCUAUUGGCUUUAGCCCUUUGUUUUGUGAAUAUGACAUGUUCAUUAUAAAAAUUUGGCAAAAACAAAUAAAAUAAAACGCAUUCAUAUGAUAGGAAAAAAAUCAAGCAUCUUCCAUAGUCACAGCACUAGAGAUGGUAAUUUUUAACAUUUUCUUGGGUGCUGUGGCAACAGUGUAGAUUAGAUCCUGGGACCCACCACAGCUUAACUCUGGGGAGGGAAGAAGGAGUGAUGUGAUGAUAUGAUAAGAAGGACGUAGCAUCUCCUUUGUAGCACUUACGCAGUGUUUGUUUACCUACUUAACAUCUCUUAAUUAGGGAGGAACCAAUUCUGUCUCCAAAGUUCACCACUUUGACCCCAGCGGCUAUCCCACUGUUGGGUGGGAGGGGCACCUUCCAGCAGCCCCUAUCCCAAGGGAAAGCAGAAAUACCAGCUUCAGCCACUUCUGUAGACCUAAUGGGCUGUAUUCCUUCUACAUCUCCCCCCACCCCCCCACACACUAGCUAAUUGCCUCUUUCUGCAGAGAAAAGCAAUGUUCUAGAAGAUUCCCACCUGCACCCCUCUUUGGCUCUGGUGACUUAAAGAUUGUAAGGCUGAAUCAGCUCACUGGGGCCAACGCCCUGCUUCCCUUCAGUGAGCAAAGACCUGCUCUGUGGGUAGGAGACCUUGCUGUGCUCCCCACACCGCAUGUGGAGCGUGGGCGAUGGACCUUGGAGCCCGUUCCCGGCCAGGUCACGGAAAGGCCUACCUGGUCACUGAAAUCAGAGCCCACACACCUUUGGAAUGUGGAGCCAGGUCUUUGAUCAGAGUAAAAGCUGAGGAUAUAGAAAUGAACCAACUGCAGGUCUGCCCUCAAAGAAAGACGUGCAGUUACAGUGGAAUGUGAGGAGCGCUUCCUGUCAUCAUCAAAUGCCGGUGGGCCCGCCGUGGGCUCUGCACAGCCUACAGCUUGGCCCCCGCUGUGGAGGGGCCUACACUCCACUGGGAAAGACAGCAAAGGAGGAGUCACGACCUCCAACCUCCAGCUGGGAUGAGUGUUAAGGUCAGGGGAGCAAGAGCUGUGAGAAUACAGAGCCGGGUGUCCUGGCCCAGCCCAGGGCUGGAGGCGUGGUGAGGACCUCAAAGAGACAAGUUCCAGAGGGCAGGCCUCGGCGCUGGGGCACAGGGUGACUUCCUCCUGAAGCUGUUAGGCAGGACACAGACAAGCCCAGAUUAAUGCCUGUGACAGAGGCCUCUGGCCACAGUGUGGAGAAGAGCAAGAGGCCCUCAGGGAACAUCCGGGCUGGCAGGGGUCAGGCCUUCCUUCUUCUCUGUGCUUCGUCAGCACAGUCAGAGCAAUGACUCUCAGACGCUUCCACAACAGGCUGACUCACACGGUGCGGUCCGCUCGUCCAGUCACAAAUGGAGCUGGGAGGACGUGGCCUUUCGCUGCCCUGGAUAGAUGACAAAAGAACUGUUGGCUGUUCCUCCCGCCCUGCACUCGGCCUCCCUGAACUUGCCCAGCUGGCUGCACCCUCGCUUCUGGCUUGUCACAGCCAGAAUACUGAGAGGAGACACGUGGGCCACAGCGGGGUCCUACACCACCCCCAGUCCUGGUUGGGAAGGGGCCAGGCCUGGGAACCCUUUGCUGCCUCUCAAAGUACCACAGGAGAACUUUCUCCUGAAAUGGGGCCUUUCUGCCCAGCCUCCUUCUUUCCCCAAUAACCUCUCCCCUCACCUGCCCUCUGGACUCCCUCUAGAGUUUUAUUUUUUUUUAAGCAGAGAGGACUGGAAAGCUGAUGAGAGUCACAGUGAGCAUGGAUUCUGGAAGCCACUCACCCUGACUUCCCUCCCACUGGAGCAGCGACCGCAGAGGACCGUGAGAGGAAAGACAGGCUGUGGGCCGCGGCCAGCUCAGAUGCAGCCCACUAUCGGGUUGUGACCCCCGCCGAGCCGAUGGAGACAGUGACCCGUGGGUGGGAGGGAAGCUCAGGGAGAGGUCAGGGGUGAAAACAAAAGUCCCAGCUCUUAACACCCGUGAACACCCCCAACACAGACAAAUCUUGGAGCUUCUGGGGGUGAAACAGAAAACCUGCCCAAAUUCAGGACAGAACAUAGUUUCAGGCUGUCCACAAGCUCCUUAGACUUCCACUGUCAACAUGCACAGGAAUGUUUGCUACUGUAUUUGUUCCUAACUGGGAAGAAUUCGAUGUUCUAGAAUUAGAAGGCCUAGAGCAGCUCGGGCUCCAUCACUAAGGACCACAGACUGUGGGGCUUAAACAAGAGAAAUUUGUUCUCUCACAGUUCUGGGCACUGGGAGGCCCAGAUCAGGGUGUUAAAAGGGUUGGUUUCUUCUGAGUCCUCUCUCGCGGCUUGCAGGUGGCCGUCUUCCUCCCGCGUCUUCACAUGGUCUUUUUUGUUGGCGUCUGUGUCCUGAUCUCGUCUUCUCAGAGACAGUCUGUUGUGGUUAGAAAGAACAGGAAGAUCUACGUGUAUUGGCAGGGAAAGAGUUUCCAGCUAUUGUUGAGUGGGGAAAGUCAGUCACAGGACAAUAUGUUGAGGGGCGAGGGUGGGAAGAGUGCUCAGUUCUUCACUCUCUCCCUCGCCCUGGCUUUACAGCCUCUCCCACCGUGGGCCGAGUACAUUUCCCAGCCCCAGGGAUGUUGAACUUGGCCAGGUGACUUGGUUUGGCCAAUGGAACUCAACGGAGGCACCCAGAGCAGACACCUUCAAUGUGCUUACUUGGCAGAGCUUGGUCUCUUGGGAUGCUGUGACCCCCAGUGAGAAGAAUACAUCCCAGGGAAAGGCUGGUCCAAGGAGAACGUGGAGAUGUGACAAGCAGAACUGAGCCCAACCUCAGCCUGGAGCUAGCCCAGUAACUCACAUACCCAGGAGCAAGAAAAAUACACACUUACCUGGAAAGCAUUAUGCUGAGUGAAGUCAGCCAGACACAAAGGACCAAUAUUGUCUGAUUCCAUUUGUGUGAAAUAUUUAGAAUAGGCAAAUCCAUAGAAAGUAGACCAGAGGCUACCAGGGGCUGGAGGGAGAGGCGAAUGGGGAGUUAAUUACUUAAUGGGUACAGAGUUUCGGCUUCGGGGGAUGAAAAGGUUUUCGAAAUAGUUGAGACUUGCACAACAUUGAGAAUGUACUUAAUGCCACUGAACUGGGCACCUAAAAAUGGUUAAAAUGGUAGAUUUCGUGUUAUAUAUAUUUUACCACAAUUUCAAAAAACGAUGUAAUACAUACAGUCAUGAACCACAACGAUGGACCAAAUAUACGACAGUGGUCCCGUAAGAUUAGUACCAUGUAGCCUAGGUGUGUAGGAGGCUCUGCCUUCUAGGUGUGUGUACGUAUACUCUCUGAUGUUCACACGACGACGAAAUUGCCUAAUGACGACGCAUUUCUCAGAACGCAUCCCUGUUGUUAAAUGGCUGUACACAGAAGCCAUUGAAUUGUACGCUUUAAAUGGGUGAAUUGUAUAGGAUGUGAAUCAUAUUUCAAUAAAGCUAUUUUUUAAAAGCA
ensembl:lncRNA